rnacentral:rRNA from 1 species
CCUACGGGUGGCAGCAGUGGGGGAUAUUGCACAAUGGGGGGAACCCUGAUGCAGCGACGCCGCGUGAGCGAAGAAGUACCUCGGUAUGUAAAGCUCUAUCAGCAGGGAAGAAAAUGACGGUACCUGACUAAGAAGCCCCGGCUAAAUACGUGCCAGCAGCCGCGGUAAUACGUAUGGGGCAAGCGUUAUCCGGAUUUACUGGGUGUAAAGGGAGCGCAGGCGGCCUGCCAAGUCUGGUGUGAAAACCCGUGGCUGAACCCUGGGCCUGCAUUGGAAACUGGCGGGCUGGAGUGUAGGAGGGGCAGGCGGAAUUCCUAGUGUAGCGGUGAAAUGCGUAGAUAUUAGGAGGAACACCGGUGGCGAAGGCGGCCUGCUGGACGAUGACUGACGCUGAGGCUCGAAAGCGUGGGGAGCAAACAGGAUUAGAUACCCGAGUAGUC